UACGAAGGGGGGCUAGCGUUGCUCGGAAUUACUGGGCGUAAAGGGCGCGUAGGCGGACAGUUAAGUUGGGGGGUGAAAGCCCGGGGCUCAACCUCGGAAUUGCCUUCAAUACUGGCUGUCUUGAGUGUGAGAGAGGUGUGUGGAACUCCGAGUGUAGAGGUGAAAUUCGUAGAUAUUCGGAAGAAUACCAGUGGCGAAGGCGGCUCACUGGUCCGGUACUGACGCUGAGGCGCGAAAGCGUGGGGAGCAAACAGG
rnacentral:rRNA from 1 species